GACGAACGCUGGCGGCGUGCUUAACACAUGCAAGUCGAACGGUAAGGCCCUUCGGGGUACACGAGUGGCGAACGGGUGAGUAACACGUGGGUGAUCUGCCCUGCACUUCGGGAUAAGCCUGGGAAACUGGGUCUAAUACCGGAUAGGACCACUGCCUGCAUGGGUGGUGGUGGAAAGCUUUUGCGGUGUGGGAUGGGCCCGCGGCCUAUCAGCUUGUUGGUGGGGUGAUGGCCUACCAAGGCGACGACGGGUAGCCGGCCUGAGAGGGUGACCGGCCACACUGGGACUGAGAUACGGCCCAGACUCCUACGGGAGGCAGCAGUGGGGAAUAUUGCACAACGGGCGCAAGCCUGAUGCAGCGACGCCGCGCGAGGGAUGACGGCCUUCGGGUUGUAAACCUCUUUCAGCACAGACGAAGCGCAAGUGGCGGUAGGUGCAGAAGAAGGACCGGCCAACUACGUGCCAGCCGCCGCCGUAA
rnacentral:rRNA from 1 species